rnacentral:rRNA from 1 species
UACGUAGGUGGCGAGCGUUGUCCGGAAUUACUGGGCGUAAAGGGUGCGUAGGCGGUUUUUUAAGUGGGAUGUGAAAUCCCUGGGCUCAACUCAGGAAUUGCAUUCCAAACUGGAUAUCUGGAGUGCAGGAGAGGUAAGUGGAAUUCCUAGUGUAGCGGUGAAAUGCGUAGAGAUUAGGAAGAACACCAGUGGCGAAGGCGCCUUUCUGGACUAUGUCUGACGCUGAGAUGCGAAAGCCAGGGUAGCGAAC